rnacentral:lncRNA from 1 species
GGAACUCGGCGAUGUUUCUUAGCCACAGGGACCGGAUGUACACUCAGAGCUAGCUCACUAGCGGGUACAGGUGGCAACUCGUUGGUGUUUUCGCCAAGACCUGAAAGAGCCAACUUAGAGACAACGUACACAUGACUACUACUAGUACUCGCUACUCACCGCUAGCGGGGACUUCAGGCAAAGUGGCGCCAGGAACUACUUCGGGUGUUUUCACAGUUCCACUUAUGGUAGUUUCUGAUGGGUCAACCGCUCCACCACUCACAACUUCAAGAUCAACGGCUUCAGUAGAUGUCUCCAAAGAAACCACGCUACUAGCCGCGUCUUUAGCUAUCGCAACUCCAUCAUCAGAAGUAGUCUCGGCAACUCCGUACAUUGCGUCCGUUGCCUCCUCAAUAUCUUCAUCCAC